rnacentral:rRNA from 1 species
UACGAAGGGGGCUAGCGUUGCUCGGAAUCACUGGGCGUAAAGGGUGCGUAGGCGGGUCUUUUAAGUCAGGGGUGAAAUCCUGGAGCUCAACUCCAGAACUGCCUUUGAUACUGAAGAUCUUUGGGUUCGGGAGAGGUGAGUGGAACUGCGAGUGUAGAGGUGAAAUUCGUAGAUAUUCGCAAGAACACCAGUGGCGAAGGCGGCUCACUGGCCCGAUACUGACGCUGAGGCACGAAAAGCGUGGGGAGCAAACAGGG